CGGGCGGUUUGGGGCUGUGGGCGGGCAUGGGCGGUGUCGGCUCCGUGAUGCGGAUCCUGGCCGCGCCGCGGCGGGCUCGCUCCUUCCGCUGUCUCCCCGCUCGGGACGAGCCCAGGGAAGCGGUUGCGGCCCGCCGGCCGGGGCCAUGUUGGCGGCGGGCCAGGGCGGCCAAGCCGUCCUUCGUGUCCUACAUCAGCCCGGAGCCUGUCGUGAACAUCUCUGCUGUUCUCAUGACAUGA
rnacentral:lncRNA from 1 species